rnacentral:tRNA from 1 species
GGAGGAAUACCCUACAUGAUAGGGGUCAAAAUAUAUUGACAAUCGUUUUAACGUAUGAGUGGGUUCAAGUCCUACCUCCUCCU